rnacentral:rRNA from 1 species
UACGUAGGAUCCGAGCGUUAUCCGGAGUGACUGGGCGUAAAGAGUUGCGUAGGCGGCUUUCAAGCGAGUAGUGAAAUCAUGUGGCUCAACCAUUAUGACUAUUACUCGAACUGGCAGGCUAGAGAAUGGUAGAGGUAACUGGAAUUUCUAGUGUAGGGGUAAAAUCCGUAGAUAUUAGAAAGAACACCAAUGGCGUAGGCAGGUUACUGGACCAUUUCUGACGCUGAGGCACGAAAGCGUGGGGAGCGAACCGG